rnacentral:rRNA from 1 species
GUCCUAGCCGUAAACGAUGGGCACUAGGUGUGGGAGGUAUCGACCCCUUCUGUGCCGCAGCUAACGCAUUAAGUGCCCCGCCUGGGGAGUACGGCCGCAAGGUUGAAACUCAAAGGAAUUGACGGGGCCCGCACAAGCGGUGGAGCAUGUGGUUCAAUUCGACGCAACGCGAAGAACCUUACCAGGGCUUGACAUCCCACGAACCUUCCCGAAAGGGUUGGGUGCCCCGCAAGGGGAGCGUGGAGACAGGUGGUGCAUGGCUGUCGU